rnacentral:rRNA from 1 species
AUGGCCGCCGACACCGCCUACGUGAAGCGGGUGCUGCUCGCCUGCAACGGAGGCGCCGACGCCGUCUUGCAUGGGGUCGCCGUCGGCCUCGCAAGGCACGGCUGCAGCCUGGUCCUGGUGGGCGACGGGAGCGCCCUGGCUGCGACGACAGAGGAGGCGCGGCGCAGCGCGGCAGAAGGGGCGACGGCCAUCGCGGUGGUCGGGUUGGACCUCGCGGCCUGCGACGAGGCAGCCGUCGGUGCCGCGGUGGACGCGGCGUGGCGCUGCUUCGGGGACGGUGGGCUCCACGCCCUCGUCAACUGCUGCUCCUACGAGGGUAUGCACAUACUACACCCAACGGAGGAGGCAGAGCGGCGCCGGCACAGGGUCCAGAUCUAG